rnacentral:rRNA from 1 species
AUUGAACGCUGGCGGCAGGCUUAACACAUGCAAGUCGAGCGGGGUGAUGGUGCUUGCACUAUCACUUAGCGGCGGACGGGUGAGUAAUGCUUAGGAAUCUGCCUAUUAGUGGGGGACAACAUCUCGAAAGGGAUGCUAAUACCGCAUACGUCCUACGGGAGAAAGCAGGGGAUCACUUGUGACCUUGCGCUAAUAGAUGAGCCUAAGUCGGAUUAGCUAGUUGGUGGGGUAAAGGCCUACCAAGGCGACGAUCUGUAGCGGGUCUGAGAGGAUGAUCCGCCACACUGGGACUGGGACACGGCCCAGACUCCUACGGGAGGCAGCAGUGGGGAAUAUUGGACAAUGGGCGGAAGCCUGAUCCAGCCAUGCCGCGUGUGUGAAGAAGGCCUUUUGGUUGUAAAGCACUUUAAGCGAGGAGGAGGCUACUCAGAUUAAUACUCUGGGAUAGUGGACGUUACUCGCAGAAUAAGCACCGGCUAACUCUGUGCCAGCCGCCGCAGUAA